rnacentral:tRNA from 1 species
GCGCCACUAGUUCAUCGGUAGAAUGUGUGCUUCCCAAGCAUGAGAGGUGGGUUCGAUUCCCACGUGGCGCACCA